rnacentral:rRNA from 1 species
AGCGAACGCUGGCGGCAGGCCUAACACAUGCAAGUCGAACGAAGUCUUCGGACUUAGUGGCGGACGGGUGAGUAACACGUGGGAACGUGCCCUUUGGUACGGAAUAACUCAGGGAAACUUGAGCUAAUACCGUAUGUGCCCUUCGGGGGAAAGAUUUAUCGCCAUUGGAGCGGCCCGCGUCUGAUUAGCUAGUUGGUGAGGUAAAGGCUCACCAAGGCGACGAUCAGUAGCUGGUCUGAGAGGAUGAUCAGCCACAUUGGGACGGAGACACGGCCCAAACUCCUACGGGAGGCAGCAGUGGGGAAUCUUGCGCAAUGGGCGAAAGCCUGACGCAGCCAUGCCGCGUGAAUGAUGAAGGUCUUAGGAUUGUAAAAUUCUUUCGCCGGGGACGAUAAUGACGGUACCCGGACAAGAAGCCCCGGCUAACUUCGUGCCAGCCGCCGCCGUAAAAC